rnacentral:rRNA from 1 species
GGAAUUCCCGGGUGUAGCGGUGAAAUGCGCAGAUAUCGGGGAGGAACACCAGUAGCGAAGGCGGGCUCUCUGGGGCCGAUACCGGACGCUGAGGAGCGAAAGCUAGGGGAGCAAAACAGGAUUUAGAUACCCUGGUAGUCCUAGCUGUAAACGUUGGGCACUAGGGUGUGGGCGGACUCAUUGACGUCUGCCGUGCCGUAGCUAACGCAUUAAGUGCCCCGCCUGGGGAGUACGGUCGCAAGGCUAAAACUCAAAGGAAUUGACGGGGGCCCGCACAAGCGGCGGAGCAUGCGGCUUAAUUCGAUGCAACCCGAAGAACCUUACCUAGGCUUGACAUCACGGGAAAAACUGUAGAAAUACAGUGUGCGUAAGCGUCCGUGACAGGUGGUGCAUGGCCGUCGUCAGCUCGUGUCGUGAGAUGUUGGGUUAAGUCCCGCAACGAGCGCAACCCUUGUCCUAUGUUGCCAGCGGGUAAUGCCGGGGACUCAUAGGAGACUGCCGGGGACAACUCGGAGGAAGGCGGGGACGACGUCAGGUCAUCAUGCCCCUUACGCCUAGGGCUGCACGCAUGCUACAAUGGCAGGUACAAAGGGCUGCGAUCCCGCGAGGGUGAGCCAAUCCCAUAAAGCCUGUCUCAGUUCGGAUUGGAGUCUGCAACUCGACUCCAUGAAGCCGGAGUCGCUAGUAAUCGUGGAUCAGCAAUGCCACGGUGAAUACGUUCUCGGGCCUUGUACACACCGCCCGUCACAUCACGAAAGUCGGCAACACCCGAAGUCAGUGGGCCUAACCCUUA